GUCUACGGCCAUCCCACUCUGAGCACGCCCCAUCUCAUCUGAUCUUGGAAGCUAAGCAGGGUCACGCCUGGUUAGUACUUGGAUGGGAGAAGUUUCUUGAGAACAUACAAACCAUCUUUU
rnacentral:rRNA from 1 species